UACACACUCUUGCACAGUAGGUGGCGGUAUGCACCUUAAAGUUGUUCGCGAUCCGCCAGUAAACCGGGAGGAGGAGGAGGACAGGAAGAAGAAGAAGAAGAAGAAGAAGAAGAAGAAGAAGAAGAAGAAGAAGAAGAAGAAGAAGAAGAAGAAGAAGAAGAAGAAGAAGAAGAAAAAUAAAGAAGAAGACAAACUAACCAGAUGACAAAGCAAUUUUUUGUUUGUAGAUUGGAUCAGCUGUAGGGACCCUCUGCUCCGUGUAACUAAAGGCUUCGCAUGCCCAUCUCGCUUAUAAAGAUGAGCAAAGAAGAAAGCAUCACUAUGAUCUUAACUUUUAAGAAUGACGUUUUGUAACUUUAACUGUUUUUAUUGUGACAUCGAUCGUGUUGUAUUCUGUAAAUUGUGUAAACACAACAUCCAUUGCACGUUGUCCGUCUUGGGAGGGAGGUCCCUCUGUUGCUCCCUGAGGGUUCUUUCUCAUUUUUUGUCCAUGUUAAAGGUUUUUUUUUCCGGGAGUUGUUUCUUAUCCGAUGCGAGGGGCUAAGGACAGGAUGUUGUGUUGCUGUAAAUUCCCUUGAGGCAAAGUUGUAAUUAAAUAAAACUGACUUGACUGAUGUGAUCAAAUGUAUAUGUAUAUUAAUGUGAUGUACUAAUAUCAAAUGAUUUUGGGUAGGUGGAUGGGUGAACUAUGCCAUUGUUGCUUUGUUUUGUUUUUUUAGAUCAGGGAAAUGAAAUGUAUUUGUAGACUUGAAACCCACACAGACGCUGAAGUCCUAAGAGAAGCUUUACUACUUGUGUACGGUGGUAGGAAUUAAAAAGCUGAAUGCCUCUACUCAACAA